CCCUUAGAUGUUCUGGGCUGCACGCGCGCUACACUGAAGCUAUCAACACGUUUUCCCUCCCUGAGAAGGGCGGGUAACCUUUUGAAUCAGCUUCGUGGUAGGGAUCGGGGCUUGCAAUUGUUCCCCGUGAACCAGGAAUUCCUAGUAGACGCGAGUCAUAAGCUCGCAUCGAUUAAGUCCCUGCCCUUUGUACACACCGCCCGUCGCUACUACCGAUUGAACGUUUUAGUGAGGCAUUUGGACCGACGCAUCCCAGUUUAACCGCUGGUUUGUGUUGGAAAGACUUCCAAACUUGAGCGUUUAGAGGAAGUAAAAGUCGUAACA
rnacentral:rRNA from 1 species